rnacentral:rRNA from 1 species
UACGGGGGGAGCAAGCGUUGUUCGGAAUUAUUGGGCGUAAAGGGCGCGUAGGCGGUUUGUUAAGUCGGUUGUGAAAGCCCGGGGCUCAACCCCGGAGAGUCGACCGAUACUGGCAGACUAGAGUACAGAAGAGGUAGCUGGAAUUCCUGGUGUAGCGGUGAAAUGCGUAGAUAUCAGGAGGAACACCUGAGGCGAAGGCGGGCUACUGGGCUGAUACUGACGCUGAUGCGCGAAAGCCAGGGGAGCAAACGGG